AACCUGGUUGAUCCUGCCAGUHAUGAUACGCUCGUCUCAAAGAUUAAGCCAUGCAUGUCUAAGUAUACAAAGUCUACUUUGAAACUGCGAACGGCUCAUUAGCCAGUUAUAGUUUAUUUGAUGUAAUGAAUAGGAGUAUUUCGUGGUUGAAGUGGGUGUGGUUGAUACCAUAUCUACUGAACAAUGAUGUACUAAAAAGAGUCUACAGGGAUAACCGUAGUAAUUCUAGAGCUAAUACCAGGAGGUGAUGUGUUGAUUGUGGUUGUUGUUGGUUGUGUUUAUGAUAAUAAUAAAGACAAGCAAACAACACGAACAAACAAUAAGAACCAUAUCCGCAUUUAUUAGAAAAUAAAUCAUUCAAUAAAAAGAAAGAUGAAUCAUAAUAAAAAAGUAAAUCGUUGAUUUAGUAAAAUAAAAGACGAUGAAUCAUUCAAGUAUCUGAUCUAUCAGCUUCGAUGGUAGGGUAUUGGCCUACGAUGGCGUUGACGGGUAACGGAUCUUUAGGGAGAGAAUCCGGAGAGGGAGCCUGAGAAACGGCUACCACAUCCAAGGAAGGCAGCAGGCGCGUAAAUUACCCAAUCCUAAAUCGGGGAGGUAGUGACAAGAAAUAGUGAUGAUGUGUUAUAGAUAAAAAUAUGAUAAAUCGAAACAAUGAGUGUAAUAUAUAUCCGUUAACGAGGAUCAAUUGGAGGGCAAGUCUGGUGCCAGCAGCCGCGGUAAUUCCAGCUCCAAUAGCGUAUAUUAAAGUUGUUGCAGUUAAAAAGCUCGUAGUUGGUGUGAUGUGGUUGGUGGCUUGGAGGUUAGUAUAUGAUAAUGUAAUGUUAUUGUAUAUUCUCUUAGUUAUUACUACUAAUGAGGAAGUAUAUGUGUAAACAAUACUUUCUUAAUUUACUGUGAAAAAAUCAAAGCGUUCAAAGCAGGCUAAAAGGCAAUGAAAAAAGAAUGUUAUAGCAUGGAAUAAUGUUGUUUGUGUUUGUUAUGUUUUAUGGUAAAUAUAAGUGAAUGAACCAUAAAAUAUUGAUUAAAUAGAAUAGGAACAGUCGGGGAUAUUCGUACUUAUAAGUCAGAGGUGAAAUUCUUGGAUUUUCUAAAGACGAACAACUGCGAAAGCAUUUAUCAAGGAUGUUUUCAUUAAUCAAGAACGAAAGUUUGGGGAUCGAAGAUGAUUAGAUACCAUCGUAGUCUAAACCAUAAACAAUGCCGAUUCGAGGGAGGUGUGUGGUAGGUUGUGGUGAUGGGGUGUAGUAAUACAUUUCUUCAUUACAACCAAUAAUAACAUUCAUCUCCAUCGUAUGCGAAAGCAAAAUGUUUGGGUUCUGGGGGGAGUAUGGUCGCAAGGCUGAAACUUAAAGGAAUUGACGGAAGGGCACCAUAAGGCGUGGAGCCUGCGGCUCAAUUUGACUCAACUCGGGGAAACUUAGCAGGGCAGGACAAAAAAAGGAUUGACAGAUUGAAAGCUCUUUCAAGAUUGUUUGGGUGGUGGUGCAUGGCCGUUCUUAGUUGGUGGAUAAUGAUUUGUCAGGUUAAUUCCGAUAACGAACGAGACCUCAAGGAUGAGUUGGAUUGUAUUAAUAUAAAUGUUAAAUAUAAAUUCUCCCCCUCCGACAUUUUGCGAUAAAAAAAUAAAAAAAAAUAGCGGAAGGAAGUUUGAGGCAAUAACAGGUCUGUGAUGCCCUUAGAUGUCCUGCGCCGCACGCGCGCUACAAUGGUUGGGUGAGUGAGUGUUGUUAUGUGGUGUUGUGUUUGGUAAUUCGAAGCACACCAUAUCCUCGGUCUAUUGACCUUGGUAAUCUUAUAACCCCAAUCGUGAUAGGGCUAGAUUCUUGUAAUUAUUAAUCUUCAACGAGGAAUGCCUAGUAAACGCAAGUCAUCAUCUUGCAUUGAAUACAUCCCUGCCCUUUGUACACACCGCCCGUCGCAUCUACCGAUGAAUUUUGCGGUGAAGUCUUGGGAGUGGUGUUAAUUGUAUGUGUAAAAAGCGUUAAAUUAAUAUAAUAAACACGAACUUGAAUAAACCUUAACAUUUAGAGGAAGAUGAAGUCGUAACAAGGUUUCCGUAGGUGAACCUGCAGAAGGAUCAAGC
rfam:Diplophrys sp. ATCC_50360 small subunit ribosomal RNA gene, complete sequence.